rnacentral:rRNA from 1 species
UACGUAGGGGGCAAGUGUUGUCCGGAAUCAUUGGGCGUAAAGAGCGUGUAGGCGGCCAGAUAAGUCCGCUGUGAAAUCUCGAGGCUCAACUUCGAGCUGUCGGUGGAAACUGUCUGGCUAGAGUCCGGAAGAGGAUAAUGGAAUUCCUGGUGUAGCGGUGAAAUGCGCAGAUAUCAGGAGGAACACCGGUGGCGAAGGCGGGUCUCUGGGCCGAUACUGACGCUGAGGAGCGAAAGCGUGGGGAGCGAACAGG